ensembl:lncRNA
ACCAGGGAGAGAGGGUGUGAUAACAUCAGUUCCAACAGCCUCCAACUGGUCUGUCUUGUCUCUGUAAAAGCGUGGAAACUGCCACACCCACAAAUGAAACAAAAUAACUUCAUUAGGACAUAUGGCCCACUACAGAAGCACAACAACAACACCCAGUUUCAUUCAAGUAUCUUAGCAAUCAAGAAAAACUGUAAUGAAAUGUACCAAGAACUUAAGUAGAUAUUACCUUAAACGGUAAAGUGUUUGCCCACUGCAUUCUCAAGUCAUUAGUUACAUUAAUUUAAACCAACAAAAAAGCAACACAGUAUAUAGCUUCAGGGAGCGUUUAUGACACAACAGAACAAACAUUCUCUUGACGUCAUAACCACAAGCCCAGUCAGCCGGCUCCAACGGCUAACAAAGACUGGCUAGCUAGCUCACAUUUUUAACAGUCUGAAAGCAAGGUGUUUUACCUAGAAAACGUUUGUUUUAUUUCAUCAAUUUUUCUGGGUUAUCCUCUAGCAAUCUGGUUACCAGUGUAAAGUUGUUGUUGCUUAUCUCUCUUAUCUACCUAGUUCGCUAAGGUGACGUUAGCUUUACCAUAAUUAGCUCAGGAUCGCAAACACGCUAGCUAACGGCUAGAUGUUAACUAGCUAAUGUGGAUGUUUAGUCAUCAACUAGCCAGUUAACAGUAACUUUACAGAUUUAAGAGUUGGUUGAUUUGAUGACACUAUUUCAUCUAUCUAAUUAACUUAUUACUCCCUAAAUGUACCUAAACAAAUACCACUUCUGCUUACUUCUGAUCCCUUUCUCCCCGAAGUCCCAGUCCACCUCGCGCGUGGUGCUUCAUUUAGGCGCGCUCAAGAUAAUCAUGACCAUGAACGAAACUAACCUCAGAAACUACUCAAGAAAAACAGUGUUGACAGAGAUGGAAUUUAACAUGUCUUGGUCCUACUUUGUAAAUGUAUCAUAAUAUUAUAAAUAUAGUCCAUGAAGCAUAAACGUAUCAAUGUACGAAGACUAUUUUCGGUCCCUUCUUAUAGGGUAAAUCAGUGGUUCCCAACCAGGGGUACUCCAAGCAGUGCAAAUUAUUUUUGGGGGUACAGUAACUGAAAAAGGUUGGGAGCCACUGGGGUAAAUGAUUC